UGGGGAAUAUUGCACAAUGGGGGAAACCCUGAUGCAGCGACGCCGCGUGAGUGAAGAAGUAUUUCGGUAUGUAAAGCUCUAUCAGCAGGGAAGAAAAUGACGGUACCUGACUAAGAAGCCCCGGCUAACUACGUGCCAGCAGCCGCGGUAAUACGUAGGGGGCAAGCGUUAUCCGGAUUUACUGGGUGUAAAGGGAGCGUAGGUGGCAUGGUAAGCCAGAAGUGAAAACCCAGGGCUCAACUCUGCGGAUUGCUUUUGGAACUAUCAAGCUAGAGUGCUGGAGGGGUAAGCGGAAUUCCUAGU
rnacentral:rRNA from 1 species